GACAGAGGCCUCAAGCGUUAGGCGGAAUCACUGGGCUUAAAGCGUGUGUAGGCGGAUCGUUAAGUGUCUUGUGAAAUCCCACGGCUCACCCGUGGAACUGCUGGGCAUACUGGCGAUCUUGGGCCAACUAGGGGCAACUGGAACAAGCGGUGGAGCGGUGAAAUGCGUAGAUAUCGCUUGGAACGCCAAAGGUGAAAACAGGUUGCUGGGGUUGUGCCGACGCGUGAGAC
rnacentral:rRNA from 1 species